GCUGCUGCAAAGCAGUACUCACUUUGCUAAGCACAGCUCCUGGACCAGAGCAUGGAGUAUACACAUGUCUGUCUGUCCACCUGUGUGUGAAGCUGAAAAGAAUCUGUAGGGGAAUGUUAGCUCAAGGCUUGAACUGGUGAUUGAGCAGCUGGUGAAGGGCUGUGGCUGCCCAGGGAGCACAGGCAAAUUGUUUGCACCUGUGCUCCCCAAGCGACUGAAAGGGGUGGAACCUGGGUGCAACCACCCUGGGCUCAUAUAAGGGCUAGCCAUGGAAGGGAGAGGGUCUCUUGAAGUUAGGCUGUUUCUUGGGGUGCAGUGCUGCUGCAUGGCCAGAGAUCCCUUUUCUGGUUGAAUCUGCAUGAAGUCUUGGACCUGCCUGGCUCUAUGAGACAUGAACCUGUACCCUCUGUGUGCAGUGCUACAGCAAUUCAGCAUGUCUUUGUGCUGGAAAAAGUCUUCUUCCUAAUCACAGUUUGCCUUGAUCUGCCCCAGAGCAAGGAAAUGUUUAAGAAGUCCGGAAUGAAUGAGCACAACAACAGAAGCAACUGGAAAGCUGUAGGCCCUAGAAGCAAGCUCGUCAGUAACCUGGUUAAUACAGGAUUCUAUAAACCACUGACUUCAAACUCUUAUGCUUGUGUAUUGCUGUUUCCUGCGAUUUUUUUCUAUUUUCUUUUGGGGAAAAAAUAUGCUGGAUCAGGUAUUGUUAAGAAGCCCAGAGCCAUCUCUUCUUCACUUCAGCAGCAGGAGCUCUGUGCCUUUGAAGCACAAGGAUUUAAGUUCCGUCCUCCCACCUCUGCAGUUUCUUUGCAGACCAAGGCAGUGUUGCAAUGUACUCCAUUAGGCCUCAUGCUAUCCUUCACGCUUCACCAGUGGCUGAUGCACUAAACGUCCUUUACCCUCCUCCGUGCUGUUCCUCAAGCAUCCUCACAGCUGAGACUGGGUCAGGGCUUUGCCACACUGUCUGGCUCCAUCCUGGCACGUUCUGAGGCAGCAGCACUGUGCAACCAAGGAGGUCUGCCUGCUGCUGAGAGACAGCAAGAAAUCAUCUAUGACCUAAUGGUGAUGCCUGUCCUUAUUUCUGAUAGUUUGCCAUUAAUUCUGAGUAAACAGCAGGUGUCUGGAGGCAUGAGGUUUGUUGGGAAACUUGUAUAUUUUGUUUAAUGCUGUGGAUUAAUCUCUGUGGUCUUAGUAACUCUUCAGACCUGUUACAUUGCAUUAUUAUUAUUGCAAUGCAUGUGUUGCAUUGUAUUUAAUGGGUAUUCACUUAACUUUUUUGAAGAGCACUUGGUUCAUUGCAAAUCUUACUGUACCAGGUGCCUUGCAAGAACAAAAUCCUCAAGCAGUGUCAGCAAACUGAACUGACUUUGUGCAAAUUUCAUGUUAUCUAGCCUUUGUGUUUGUAGAAAAUAACUAAACCACAGUUUUCAUUCAUUGGAGGGGAAAUGAGUUUUUGUUAAGCGUGUGUAAGGUUGGAGCUGGGUCACCCUGAGAAACAAAGCAAAACCAGAUGGUAAGGAGUCAGCUUGAUUUCAGGAACAGUGGGUGGGCAUGAGGAGUGCCACUGGCUUCCAUGGGAUGUGCUGCAGCAGUCACCAUGCAAAUCUCAAGGUAUGGGAAAAUGCGUGGUUUUGGUUUUUAAGCAAAAUCACAUUUCUGUGGAUUACCUGUGACAUCUGUAGGGAAGAUAUCACAGAAGAGAAAGCUUAUAAAUGACUGUAAAGCAAAUGCCAUCCUCAGACUGAUGUAAGACCACACACCUGUGCCAGC